GGUUAACGCUGGCGGCGCGCCUGAUACAUGCAAGUCGAGCGAGGGCCCCUCUCCCGCAAGGGAGGCGGGUUCCUAGCGGCGAACGGGUGAGUAACACGUGAGCAACCUGUCCCGAAGUGGGGGAUAACAUCGAGAAAUCGGUGCUAAUACCGCAUGAGUUCACCGAGGACAUCCCCGGUGAGGAAAGCAGCAAUGCGCUUUGGGGUGGGCUCGCGACCUAUCAGCUAGCGGUGGGGUAAUGGCCUACCGAGGCUUUGACGGGUAGCUGGUCUGAGAGGACGACCAGCCACACGGGGACUGAGACACGGCCCCGACUCCUACGGGAGGCAGCAGUAAGGAAUCUUCCGCAAUGGGCGAAAGCCUGACGGAGCGACGCCGCGUGUGGGAUGAAGUCCCC
rnacentral:rRNA from 1 species